AUGUAUCAUAGUCUUAUCAAUUAAUAGAAACUCAUGCUAAAAAAAGUACAGACCAAAAAACAAUUAUUACAUGAUCUCUAAAACAAAUAGUUUGGUCGAUUACAUGAACAAACAACACAUAGGCUAUUCAAUGAUGGAAAAAACAUUUCUGCUCAUUGCCAGAAUUGUUAAAAAUCACAGAAGCGUGGAAAAACUUUAAAUUUCUUACACAAGAUUGAUAUACAAAUUUCCUCUGUUGUCCUAAUUUUUAAGAAUUUUUGGAGUUACAGAAGCAUACGAAGUUUCCAGAUUACUAUAGACUGUUCUAUUUUUGACAGAUUCUGUUUUCAUUGUGUUGUUUGCUUAUUUUGAUGAAUCUGUGGGUAGUAUCGGAGGGUAUGAACCAUGGAGAAGUUGGAAUACAAUAGAUAUAACACCAAUAUAAAUUUAGAAUGAGUUCACAACAAUACCUAAGUGGUAAUUUAUUUUACUAUACUAACUGAUCUCAUGAGUUUUCUGUUGAGUUCUGUGUUGUGAAGUUUUCAAGUUUUGGGUGAAGUUUCAAUGGCCUACGGAAUAAGGAGUGGCAAGAGCCUAAGCUUGGGGAUGCCUGCUACCUCUUGAGCUUGCGUUUGUUUUUCCCUUGAAGAGGAAAGGGUGAUGCAACAAAGUAGAGUAAGUAUUUCCCUUAGCUUUUGAGAACCAGGGUAUCAAUCCAGUAGGAGACAACGCAGAAGCCACCGAAUACCUGCACAAAUAAACACCAACUUGCACCCAACGUGACAAAGGGGUUGUCAAUCCCUUCACAGUUAUUUGCAAAGUGAGAUCUGAUAUAGAUUGAUAAACGGUAAAGUAAUACUUUUGGUAUUUUUGGUUUAUAGAUCGGAAAGUAAAAGAUUGCAAAGAAGGUAAAUAGGAAACUAAAAUUGUAGAUCAUAAACUUAUAUGAUGGAAAAUAGACCCGGGGGGCAUAGGUUUCACUAGAGGCUUCUCUUAAGAUAAAAAAUAUUACGAUGGGUGAACAAAUUACUGCCGAGCAAUUGAUAGAAAAGCACAAAGUUAUAACAAUAUCCAUGGCAAUGAUCAUGAACAUAGGCAUCACGUUCGUAUCAAUUAGACCGACUCCUGCCUGCAUCUACUACUAUUACUCCACACAUUGACCGACUCCUGCCUGCAUCUAGAGUAUUGAGUUCAUGAAGAACAGAGUAACACAUUAAGUAAGAUGACAUGAUGUAGUGGGAUAAACUCAAGCAAUAUGAUGAAAACCCCAUCUUGUUAUCCUUGAUGGCAACAAAACAAUAUGAGUUGGUUCCCCUUCUGUCACUAGGAUCGAGCACCACAAGAUUGAACCCAAAGCUAAGCACUUCUCCCAUUGCAAGAAAAAACAACCUAGUUGGUCAAACCAAAUCGAUAGUUCGAAGAGAAUUGCAAAGAUAUCAAAUCAUGCCUAUAAGAAUUCAGAGGAGAUUCAAAUAAUAUUCAUAGAUAAGCUGAUCAUAAAUCCACAAUUCAUCGAAUCUCGGCAAACACACCGCAAAAAGGUAUUAAAUCGAAUAGAUCUCCAAGAACAUCGAGGAGAACAUGGUACUGAGAAUCAAAGAGAGAGAAGAAUCCAUCUAGCUACUAGCUAUGGACCCGUAGGUCUAUGGUAAACUACUCACGCUUCAUUGGAGAGGCAAUGGUGUUGAUGUAGAAGCCCUCUGUGAUCGAAUCCAUCUCUAGCAGGACGCCAGAAAAGGCCCCUAGAUGGUAUCUCACAGGUACAGAAGGUUGCGGCGGUGGAAAAGUGGUUUAGUGGCUCCCCUAGAAGGUUUUGGGGUAUCUGAGUGUUGAGUAACGCAGUAAUUUCAAAAAAAAUUCCUACGCACACGCAAGAUCGUGGUGAUGUAUAGCAAUGAGAGGGAAGAGUAUCGUCUGCGUACCCUCGUAGACCAUAAGCGGAAGCGUUAUGACAACGCGGUUGAUGUAGUCGUACGUCUUCACGAUCGACCGAUCUAGUAUCAAAGAUACGACACCUCCGCGAUCUGCACACGUUCGGCUCGGUGAUGUCCCGUGAACUCACGAUCCAGUAGAGCUUCGAGGGAGAGCUUCAUCAGCAUGACGGCGUGAUGACGAUGAUGAUGUUGCUACCGGAACAGGGCUUCGCCUAAGCACCGCUACAAUAUUACCGAGGUAGAUUAUGGUGGAGGGGGGCACCACACACGGCUAAAGAUCAAUGAUCAACUUGUGUGUCUAUGGGGUGCCCCCUGGCCACGUAUAUAAAGGAUGGAGGGAGGAGGCUGGCCCUCAUAGGGCGCGCCCAAAGUGUGGAGUCCUACUAGGACUCCCUAGUUCUAGUAGGAUUCCACCUCCCACAUGGAAUAGGAAAAAGGGAAGGGAGAAGGAGAAGGAAGGAAGGGGGCGCCCCCUUUCCCUAGUCCAAUUCGGACCAGUCCAUGGGGAAGGGGCGCGGCCACCCUUGAGGCCUUUCUCUCCUUUCCCGUAUGGCCCAUUAAGGCCCAAUAUGAAUUCCCUUAACUCUCCGGUACUCCGAAAAAUACCCGAAUCACUCGGAACCUUUCCGAUGUACGAAUAUAGCCUUCCAAUAUAUCGAUCUUUACGUCUCGACCAUUUCGAGACUCCUUGUCAUUUCCCCGAUCUCAUCCGGGACUCCGAACAAACUUAGGUCAUCAAAUCACAUAACUCAUAAUACAAAUCGUCAUAGAAUGUUAAGCGUGCUGACCCUACGGGUUCGAGGACUAUGUAGACAUGACCAAGACUCAUCUCCAGUCAAUAACCAAUAGCGGAACCUGGACGCUCAUAUUGGUUCCUACAUAUUCUACGAAGAUCUUCAUCGGUCAAACCGCAUAACAACAUAUGUUGUUCCCUUUUUCAUCGGUAUGUUACUUGCCCGAUAUUCGAUCGUCGGUAUCCUCAUACCUAGUUCAAUCUCGUUACUGGUACGUCUCUUUACUCGUUCCGUAAUGCUACAUCCCGUAAAUAACUCAUUAGCUACAUUGCUUGCAACGGUUAUAGUGAUGUACAUUACCGAAAGGGCCCAAAGACACCUCUCCGACAAUCGGAGUGACAAAUCCUAAUCCCGAUCUAUGCCAACUCAACAAACACCAUCAGAGACACCUGUAGAGCACCUUUAUAAUCACCUAGUUAUGUUGUGACGUUUGGUAGCACACAAAGUGUUCCUCCGGUAUUCGGGAGUUGCAUGAUCUCAUAGUCAUAGGAACAUGUAUAAGUUAUGGAGAAAGCAAUAGCAACAAACUAAAAUCAUCAUGCUAAGCUAACGGAUGGGUCAAGUCAAUCACAUCAUUCCCUAAUGAUGUGAUCCUGUUAAUCAAAUGACAACUCAUGUCUAUGGUUAGGAAACAAAAUUAUCAUUGAUUCAACGAGCUAGUCGAGUAGAGGCAAACUAGUGACACUCUUUUUGUCUAUGUAUUCACACAUAUAUUAAGUUUCCAGUUAAUACAAUUCUAGCAUGAAUAAUAAACAUCUAUCAUGAUAUAAGGAAAUAAUUAACAACUUUAUUAUUGCCUCUAGGGCAUAUUUCCUUCACUGAGAAUAUAUAGGCGGAAGAAAUAGGUCGGUAGAGUCAUGAGGGGCCCAGAAGGGUGGGGGGCGCGCCCUACCCCCUGGGAGCGCCUCCCGACCUUGUGGCCGCCUCAUGACUUUCUCGACGUGCACUCCAAGCCCUCUGGAUGUCUUUUGGUCCAAGAAAAAUCAUUGUGAAAAUUUCAUUCCAUUUGGACUCCGUUUGGUAUUCCUUUUCUGCGAAACUCUAAAACAAUGAAAAAACAAGAACUGGCACUAGGCUCUAGGUUAAUAGGUUAGUCCCAAAAAUAAUAUAAAACAACAUAUUAAUGCAUAUAAAACAUCCAAAACAGAUAAUAUAAUAACAUGAAACAAUAAAAAAAAUUAGAUACGUUGGAGACGUAUCAAUGCCCAAGGCACCCCAAGGUAAUGUUCAAGGACAACCAUAUUUGUAGAUCUGGCAUAGCAAACAAAAUGAAAUAUCUUUGCCUCAACAAAAAAAUGAAAUGUAUCAUAGUCUUAUCAAUUAAUAGAAACUCAUGCUAAAAAAAGUAUAUACCAAAAAACAAUUAUUACAUGAUCUCUAAAACAAAUGGUUUGGUCGAUUACAUGAACAAACAACACAAAGGUUAUUCAAUGAUGGAAAAAACAUUUGACCAAUGAUUUACCAAGUGAGAUUUUAAUUUCCUUUUUCCCUUCAGGACCUUAGCAAUGCAGCCAGUCUUAGCUUAUUUCGUUUUGAAAUCCACCAAAUAUUUCAGGGACAAUUACAUUUGUGCCCCUAACUGGAACCCACUACUCAAUUUUCCUGUAAUUUCAAAGCAUGCUCAAAUUUUAACCUCUGCUAUUAGUUGCCCUUAUAGAAAUGCUCUUCUGCGCCAUUACCGUCCGGUCAAACGCUGCAUGAGCCGCAGUGGAGGUCGACGUAGAUGAGGAGCUCAUGCGUCUACCACACGCCAUCGACACAUUGAAGUGUUGAUAUAGACGUCCUUGUCACUCUUGAGCUCCUGGUUGCCAUUCUCGAGGUCAAAGAAAGCGAACAGAGAUUUAACCACCACAAGCAUGUCAAACCUUGAGAAACACAAACGAAAGAGCAUAACAGAAAAAGUAGCAUGCUGAAGAAAGAAAGGAAAGAGAUGCAGGUAAUUCCUAUGCUUGAUAUAUCAAAAACAAGGCGAGGAUUGUUAUACCUACCAGCACUGAAUCUACCAGUAGUCGCCGCAUGGACAUACACCAUCCUUCAUGUGAUGGAAGCAGGAGUUGGAGAACUCGGCCCUGCCACAUACUGUGCCCUGCUCACUACUUCCCUGGCAUUAAAACCAAACAAAGAAACCAAAAUCAACCCUUUACCUAGGUUCUCUACAGAAACUCGUCUUUAAAAAACUUCAGCGGGAGAUCCAAAGAAAACGCCCUGCAUCUGCACCCCCAUAUCGUCCCCGUCCUCCGCGGGCUUCAGUACUAAACUACUAUAAAGAUGUCUACCAACAAUUCUAAUUAGAUAGAGGUAAUUAUGUGUAAACAUAAAUGAAUUCCUAAACAACAUGGAUGUAUUUUUUGAUAAAGAGCAACAAGAAGACAAACCAGAUAAUUAGUAUACAAGUCGAAAAGAAUAUCUGAGAAACAAAGGUGCGUUGUUAUAAGGUCGCAGACGUGUUUGUGGUUAGACGGUGAUCCUGACUUUUUGCUCAGUUUCGUAGUUGGAGAGAAUAUAGCUGGUCAUUUCGGUUAAUGGAAUAGAAUGUACUCCAUCUAAAAAACACAUGUUUGUACCCUAGCACAGG
rnacentral:lncRNA from 1 species